rnacentral:rRNA from 1 species
UACGGAGGGUGCGAGCGUUGUCCGGAAUCACUGGGCGUAAAGGGCGCGUAGGCGGCGCGGGUAGUCAUCGGUGAAAGUUCAGGGCUCAACUCUGAAUCGGCCGGUGAUACUCCCGUGCUCGAGCACUGUAGAGGCAGGUGGAAUUCCGGGUGUAGCGGUGGAAUGCGUAGAGAUCCGGAAGAACACCGGUGGCGAAGGCGGCCUGCUGGGCAGUAGCUGACGCUGGUGCGCGACAGCGUGGGGAGCAAACAGG